rnacentral:rRNA from 1 species
GAUGAACGCUGGCGGCGUGCCUAAUACAUGCAAGUCGAGCGAACAGACGAGGAGCUUGCUCCUCUGACGUUAGCGGCGGACGGGUGAGUAACACGUGGAUAACCUACCUAUAAGACUGGGAUAACUUCGGGAAACCGGAGCUAAUACCGGAUAAUAUAUUGAACCGCAUGGUUCAAUAGUGAAAGACGGUUUUGCUGUCACUUAUAGAUGGAUCCGCGCCGCAUUAGCUAGUUGGUAAGGUAACGGCUUACCAAGGCAACGAUGCGUAGCCGACCUGAGAGGGUGAUAGCCCACACUGGAACUGGGACACGGUCCAGACUCCUACGGGAGGCCGCAGUAGGGAAUCUUCCGCAAUGGGCGAAAGCCUGACGGAGCAACGCCGCGUGAGUGAUGAAGGUCUUCGGAUCGUAAAACUCUGUUAUUAGUGAAGAACAACUGUGUAAGUAACUAUGCACGUCUUGACGGUACCUAAUCAGAAAGCCCCGGCUAACUACGUG